CCACUAAUUCCUAUUGUUUGCAAUGCAAGAGAUCACUGCAUUACUGUAUAACAUCCCUGGAAAACUCUACACGAACAAGAAUGAAUACUAGCAUAGAUCUCAAAGGCAUGACUCCUGGUUCAGGUCAAGACCAGUGAUUCUUUCCCGAAAGAGGAUGUGUUGGUAUUUCUGAAACUGGCUGGUCCUUUGCAUCACUAACUGCUGUGUAAUUCUAAGCCUUGGCACAACUAUGAUCAAAUCACAACGAUGAUUCAGUCCACAAGACAGUGCAUGCCUAUGUAAUGAACUCCAUUAAAGCUGUACAGAAGUUCAGACCAGGAACUAUGAAGCCCUGCCCAGAGACUACGUUCACACUAGUCACUGAUCAUCUUUGUAAAGCAAACCACAAAAGUUGGAGAGCAUUUAUUAUUCGUCACACAAUAAAAAGUAAUUAUCAUACAACUAUAUUACCAUUGAACAACUUAAUUAAAGAAGUGGCCUAACUGUGUUGCCUUUUCUAUCAAAUGGCCUAGCU